UAUUUUGAGGAAAAAAAAAAUUAAAAAAGUGGGAGGUAUGGUUGUUCAGACACCCAGGAACCACUAGCGUGUUACCGCCCACUCUUCCAUCUAGUGGGCAGAGGCUAAACUUCAGUUCCUAGCGUCUGAGUUGCUUUAAUUUCAAUUCCUGGUAGUAUUAACCUUACCUGGUGUGGGUUGAAGUUUGAAGAAUAACUUCACCUCCACUCUUCUCAUGAUCAGCUCUGCUGCUGACCUGGUCAACCAGGGUAGACGCUAGUUAAUUGGAGCAAGAUCCCUGUCUACAGGACGUAGUGGGACAUUACGACUCCUCACCUCUAAAAUCUGAAUUGUGGUGAUACAACCAAGUAGUGACAGGAUUUUCAGAACAUGGGACGAACACCGCCACCCAGGAUAACCAACACCAUUUCUUCUAAAACAUCAUCAGAAGACCAUCCUGGGCAUAAGAUUCUCAUGUCCCAACAUCCUACUGGAACCACAGCGGCCAAUAUUUAUUUUAUUUAUUUUUAAUUAAAAUCCUUAGAAAAACAUAAUUAUUAUCCAUCAAGUUA